AUCCAUGGAGGUUUUAACCUUUUAAAUUAAGAAACUUACUCCUUUAUUUCUAGAAGGUGUCACUGCUGCUUAUUUCGAUGAGCUCGUCCCUGGAGCAUCAGAUGAGCCCAGCACCUCAUUUGGAAGUGAUGAGUCUGUCUCAGUGCUUUUUUAAAAUGAAGCAGAUUUUCCAUUACCUGUAACCAACACUCUGCUAACAACUUUCUAAGAAGAUUGUGAGUUUCUGAACAAGCCUACCAUUCCAUUAUAGGAAAAGGCAUAAUUGUAAAAGACUCUGAGACAUAGGAUGUACCCAGCUGAGGAUAAACAGCAGAGGGAAUUGUGUACAGACAGAGAAGGGGCAUCUCUUAACCAUGUCGCAUUUAAUAUGGGGUCAAUAAACGUUCCUUUGAAAU